CUUUUCUUGAAGAACUUGCGUGUCUUGUUGAAGAGAUUGGUCUUUCAACAACUCUCUCGUAGUUUUGCUAACCAAGAACGAAGUUUAUUUGUUUUAAAGUAUAUUUCAAGAGUAUUGAUAAGAAGAUUUUGAUAAAUUUUUAAAGAUGACUCACUGGUGUUAUUGUGUCCUUUGAUGAUGCUAAUGCAUUCUCUGAGGUUCUCGGUCUAGAUCUAUCAGCUUGAACCGCACCGCUUCCUGAGCCGUUUCUUCUAGCAUAUGCCUCUAAAGCACCCGAGAACCUCUCACGGCUGUCUUGUCCAGCUGUAAUACAUUAAAACAAAAAUUUGGUUUCUUCAAUAUUCCAAUCAAAACUGGAAUUGAAUCAAUAGACUCUUCUCAUAUGAUCUAACAACAAAGCUUAAGGGAUUACCUGAAGGUUUUUCUGGUCUCUCGGCAGAUGGCACUGGGGGAUUCAGAGCUGGUCUAAGGCUUGACUGUUUAAACACAGAGACAAUCGUGAGGGUUUGUUUGAUAAUAUGCUCUAGAGGAAUUGAAAAUGAUGGAAUAACUCCAAAUAGGAGACAAUGGCGGCUUUUCUUGAAGAACUUGCGUGUCUUGUUGAAGAGAUUGGUCUUUCAACAACUCUCUCGUAGUUUUGCUAACCAAGAACGAAGUUUAUUUGUUUUAAAGUAUAUUUCAAGAGUAUUGAUAAGAAGAUUUUGAUAAAUUUUUAAAGAUGACUCACUGGUGUUAUUGUGUCCUUUGAUGAUGCUAAUGCAUUCUCUGAGGUUCUCGGUCUAGAUCUAUCAGCUUGAACCGCACCGCUUCCUGAGCCGUUUCUUCUAGCAUAUGCCUCUAAAGCACCCGAGAACCUCUCACGGCUGUCUUGUCCAGCUGUAAUACAUUAAAACAAAAAUU
rnacentral:lncRNA from 1 species